UGGGGGAUAUUGCACAAUGGGCGAAAGCCUGAUGCAGCGACGCCGCGUGGGGGAUGAAGGCUUUCGGGUUGUAAACCUCUUUCGCUAUCGAACAAGGCCCGCUUAGGGUGGGUUGAGGGUAGGUGGAGAAGAAGCGCCGGCUAACUACGUGCCAGCAGCCGCGGUAAUACGUAGGGCGCGAGCGUUGUCCGGAAUUAUUGGGCGUAAAGGGCUUGUAGGCGGCUUGUUGCGCCUGCUGUGAAAACGCGGGGCUUACGUUCGCGUGUGCAGUGGGUACGGGCAGGCUUGAGUGUGGUAGGGGUGACUGGAAUGCCAGGUGUAGCGGUGGAAUGCGCAGAUAUCUGGAGGAACACCGAUGGCGAAGGAAGGUCCCUGGGCCAUUACUGACGCUGAGGAGCGAAAGCAUGAGUAGCGAGCAGG
rnacentral:rRNA from 1 species